UACGUAGGGGGCCGAGCGUUGUCCGGAGUUAUUGGGCGUAAAGCGCGCGCAGGCGGCCUCGCGCGCCCGACGUGAAAGCCCCCCGGCUUAACCGGGGAGGGUCGUUGGGGACGGCGGGGCUUGAGGGCGGGAGAGGUCGGUGGAAUUCCCGGUGUAGUGGUGAAAUGCGUAGAGAUCGGGAGGAACACCUGUGGCGAAGGCGGCUGACUGGGCCGACCCUGACGCUGAGGCGCGAAGGCGUGGGGAGCGAACGGG
rnacentral:rRNA from 1 species